rnacentral:snoRNA from 1 species
GGAUAAUGAUGACACCGUGUGAUAAGGUCUCGUUCGUCGUAAUGGUGAGAAUGAAUGUUCUAACCUUGACGACCAUCCUGUUAUAUCACCACUCAUAAACUGAGUCC